CAAGGAAUUUUCCCCAAUGGGCGCAAGCCUGAGGGAGCAACGCCGCGUGCAGGACGACGGCUUUCGGGUUGUAAACUGCUUUUGCGUGGGACGAUAACGACGGUACCACGCGAAUCAGCCCCGGCUAACUCUGUGCCAGCAGCCGCGGUAAUACAGAGGGGGCAAGCGUUGUCCGGACUUACUGGGCGUAAAGAGCGUGUAGGCGGCCUGGUAAGUCUGUCGUGAAAUGCUGGGGCUCAACCCUGGACGUGCGAUGGAUACUGCUAGGCUAGAGGUUGGUAGAGGCGAGUGGAAUUCCCGGUGUAGCGGUGAAAUGCGCAGAUAUCGGGAGGAACACCAGUAGCGAAGGCGGCUCGCUGGGCCAUUCCUGACGCUGAGACGCGAAAGCGUGGGGAGCGAACAGGAUUAGAUACCCCCGUAGUCC
rnacentral:rRNA from 1 species